UAGUUUUACUUUCACUUUGUGACCUCGGGGUAGAAAUGUGUAGCAGCAGGAGCAGUAAAAGUGGGUUGUAAUCCACAGCAACACAACAGUCUCAUAGUGGGAUAUUCUUCCAUGACUUGGUUUUAGUGGAUCUCUGUUGCUGUUGACGUCUUCCUGCUUCAUCUAGCGGACAAUCAGAAUAAUACAUCCAGGAGCCACCAAAGAGAAUAAGAAGCAUCUUCUCUCUGUGUGUCCUCUACUGAUGAAGACAGAAGGUCUGUUUGACUUGAUGUGGACCUGAGUUCACCAGUGGUAUCCAGACAGAACCAACAGCAGCAAACAGGUUAUAGUGUGUUCUCUCCUCAUUCUGUUGGU